ACUCGAUGCGUUUCUCCUCUGUAUGCAUUAAUUUAACCAGGUAUCAGAUACCAACUCUAGAUAAGAUUCGUUAACUUGAUCACGCCACUUCGAUGUGCCCAAUGAAACUGCCAGUAGUUUCUGCCCUCAAUAACUCAUUAUCGGACUUGUCCUCUUUUAAAACAGUCACUGCAAAUAUCCCCACUGUUAGUGUACCCAAUUCAAUUCUGAACGCCUCACAUUUCAUUACUUAUCAAAGAUUCAUAGUUAGCAAAGGGCGGACUCCAUAUUUAAAGGUUACCUUGCUCUAAGAACUUUUCGAUCAAUUUCAAAGUUAAGUGUGUUCUAAAAAGUUCAAAAGGAUUAUAAAAAAUUUUAAAUAAAAACCACUUUGACCUGUCGAGUGAAUUUUACCUCAAAAUUACACACCAGCUCCAGCAACAAAGCAACGAUAAACUCAAUAUGGACGGCAUGGAUUCGGGCACAGGACUAGGACUAGGUGACCUCUCCACCAUCAUCAUACACUAGGGUCCAACUGAGAAGAGGCUUCACGAAAGAGAAGAAACAGAAUGGGGAGGCAAAAAAGAACAAAACAGAAACAAAGAUUCGACGAGAUCAGUUGCAGUCAUCCGAUUACUUCACAAUUAAAUUAUGGUGCUUAAGUUCAGUAAAAUUAUGUAACCAAUUCCAAUAAUUUUUGACGAAUUUAUUCAAAUUUGUAUUAACGGUAUGGAGUAUACAACUCAAACACAAUAGAAAAUUUUUUUUCUUCAA